GCCUACGGGGGGCAGCAGUAGGGAAUUUUCGUCAAUGGGCGCAAGCCUGAACGAGCAAUGCCGCGUGAACGAGGAAGGUCUUCGGAUCGUAAAGUUCUGUUGAAGGGGAAAAAGAGCGGAGAGAGGAAAUGGUCUCCGAUUGAUAUUACCCUUCGAGGAAGUCACGGCUAACUACGUGCCAGCAGCCGCGGUAAUACGUAGGUGGCGAGCGUUAUCCGGAAUGAUUGGGCGUAAAGGGUGCGUAGGCGGCCUGCUAGGUCUGGAGUGAAAGGUACCGGCUCAACCGGUACAGGCUCUGGAAACUG
rnacentral:rRNA from 1 species